UGCGCCUGCCCGGCGGGCGGAGGCUGCGGGCAAGGGGCGGGGCGUGGAGCUCGCUCCGCCUUCCAGCCCGCCAGUCCCCGGGGUGGAGGGGCUGGCCUGCUUCCGCCGCGAGCUCUGCCCGGUCCCCCUGCUAGUAAGAGCUCCUCAGUGCCCUGGGGACUGUCCCCGAGCGCCGGGGCCCAAGCGGACCGGCGCCAGCACCGCAUCGCGAAUCGGGUGCACGGAUUCACCUCGCAGGUGUUUUCGCGCACCUGGCAGAGUUGUUGAAACAAAACUCAGACAACCCGGCAGGAUUGACCAAAAGAUAAAAGAAGGUGCAAACAACGUCUUGACUGAAAAGGGGGUCCCCAGAGGUUUCCUGUCGAGCAGAUGCGGGCCAGCGUGGAGGACGGCGCUUUGGGUCAGCGGCGAACACCCGACCGCAGGAGAAAGCCCACUCUGGGGGUGCGUCUGGGACCACCCCGGGGGCGAUGGGGACAGAGGGACGACUGGGAACCUCCAUCUCCUGGGGACAAGGUCUCCCAUCAGGAUUAAGCUUCAGCUGCCCUCGGAGGCGACUGGCCUGAGGAAGCGGCCCGUGUGGUGACUGUCCCCUCCUCCCCCUCCUGUCCACAGUAGACACCAGGAGCAUCCUUCCGUCAGGUCUGCUUCUGGAGAAAACUGUAAGGUGCUCUGGACAAGGGACUGUCGCCCUUCCUACGCUUGGGACAAGCGUGGGGCGCGUGUGGCUGUCGCUGAUGGUUCCAAAGCUGUCUCUUUACAGGUGGGCGGCCAUUCAUCCUGGCUUGCCCGGACCUGCGCUUCUGGUGUCCGCCUGGCUUAGCGUUUCCCUUGGAGGGAAGUGGCCCGGCUUGGGGGACCAGGUGCGCCAUUCCUAGGACAGUUGUGGUUGGGCAGGGGAGCGGGGUUUAACAGGGCCCCGGAGGUUAGAGCCGAUGGUGACGGAUGAGGCAGCUGAGGCCCAGGGCACACGAGGGGGAAGGCUCCUGGCCAGGCCCCAGAAGCCAGGUGACGCUGGUCAUGGCGUCCCCCUCGUCCCCCUUCCCCUGGCCCACCACUUUGCAGCAGGCCAUCACUCAGCGGUGCCCCGUUGACCUUACCGUGGGGUCACAGCAUCCUUGCUUCGAAAAUCUGGCUUUGUUCUACGGGCGCCCGGGGGGCUCAGUCACUUAAGCCUCUGACUUCGGCUCCGGUCGUGAUCUUAUGGUUUGUGAGUUCAAGCCCGUGUCGGGCUCUGUGCUGACAGCUCGGAGCCUGGAGCCUGCUUGGGAUUCUGUGUCUCCCUCUCUCUCUCUGCCCCUGCCCUGCUCUCCCCCUCUCAAAAUAAAGUUUAUAAACAAAACA
rnacentral:lncRNA from 1 species